UGGGGAAUCUUCCGCAAUGGACGAAAGUCUGACGGAGCAACGCCGCGUGAGUGAAGAAGGUUUUCGGAUCGUAAAACUCUGUCUUUUGGGGCGAACGUGAGUAUGGUGAACAAUCAUAGUCAGUGACGGUACCAAAGGAGGAAGCCACGGCUAACUACGUGCCAGCAGCCGCGGUAAUACGUAGGUGGCAAGCGUUGUCCGGAAUUAUUGGGCGUAAAGAGCGCGUAGGCGGGAUAGUCAGUCUGUUGUAAAGUGCGGGGCUCAACCCCGUGAUGGCAAUGGAAACAGCUAUUCUUGAGUGCAGGAGAGGAAAGUGGAAUUCCCAGUGUAGCGGUGAAAUGCGUAGAUAUUGGGAGGAACACCAGUGGCGAAGGCGACUUUCUGGACUGUGUCUGACGCUGAGGCGCGAAAGCCAGGGGAGCGAACGGGAUUAGAUACCCCGGUAGUCCUGGGCCGUAAAACGAUGGGUACUAGGUGUGGGAGGUAUCGACCCCUUCCGUGCCGGAGUUAACGCAAUAAGUACCCCGCCUGGGGAGUACGGUCGCAAAACUGAAACUUAAAUGAAUUGACGGGGGUCAUAGCUGUUUCCUG
rnacentral:rRNA from 1 species